rnacentral:rRNA from 1 species
GGGCCCGCACAAGCAGUGGAGCAUGUGGUUUAAUUCGAUGCAACGCGAAGAACCUUACCAGGGUUUGACAUCCUGCGAAUCUCUUGGAAACGAGAGAGUGCCUUCGGGAGCGCAGUGACAGGUGGUGCAUGGCUGUCGUCAGCUCGUGUCGUGAGAUGUUGGGUUAAGUCCCGCAACGAGCGCAACCCACGUCUUUAGUUGCCAGCAUUUAGUUGGGCACUCUAGAGAGACCGCCGGUGAUAAACCGGAGGAAGGUGUGGAUGACGUCAAGUCAUCAUGCCCCUUACAUCCUGGGCUACACACGUACUACAAUGCUACGGACAAAGGGCAGCAAGUUCGCGAGGACAAGCAAA